rnacentral:tRNA from 1 species
GGGGGUGUAGCUCGGCUGGCUAGGGCGUCCGGUUCAUCCCCGGGGGGGUGGGGGGUUCGACCCCCCCCGCCGCUA